rnacentral:rRNA from 1 species
CAAUAGCGUAUAUUAAAGUUGUUGCAGUUAAAAAGCUCGUAGUUGGAUUUCUGGUGGGAGCGAUCGGUCUGGCGCUUAGCGCGAGUACUUGCAUCGUCUCCGGCCAUCCUUGGGGAGAGUCUGUCUGGCAUUAAGUUGUCGGGCAGAGGAUCCUCAUCGUUUACUGUGAAAAAAUUAGAGUGUUCAAAGCAGGCUUAUGCCGUUGAAUAUAUUAGCAUGGAAUAAUAAGAUAGGACUUUGGUACUAUUUUGUUGGUUUGCGCACCAAAGUAAUGAUCAAUAGGGACAGUUGGGGGUAUUCGUAUUCCGUUGUCAGAGGUGAAAUUCUUGGAUUUACGGAAGACGAACUACUGCGAAAGCAUUUACCAAGGAUGUUUUCAUUAA